ACCAGAAUCAGACAUCUGGGGAAGAAGUGU
rnacentral:piRNA from 2 species